AUCCUACGGGACGCAGCAGUGGGGGAUAUUGCACAAUGGGGGAAACCCUGAUGCAGCAACGCCGCGUGAGGGAAGACGGUUUUCGGAUUGUAAACCUCUGUCCUUAGUGACGAUAAUGACGGUAGCUAAGGAGGAAGCCACGGCUAACUACGUGCCAGCAGCCGCGGUAAUACGUAGGUGGCAAGCGUUGUCCGGAAUUACUGGGUGUAAAGGGAGCGUAGGCGGGAAGGCAAGUCAGAUGUGAAAUCCACAGGCUUAACCUGUGGCGUGCAUUUGAAACUGUUUUUCUUGAGUGAAGUAGAGGG
rnacentral:rRNA from 1 species